rnacentral:rRNA from 3 species
CACGAACGACUCUCGGCAACGGAUAUCUCGGCUCUCGCAUCGAUGAAGAACGUAGCGAAAUGCGAUACUUGGUGUGAAUUGCAGAAUCCCGUGAACCAUCGAGUCUUUGAACGCAAGUUGCGCCCCAAGCCAUUAGGUUGAGGGCACGUCUGCCUGGGUGUCACGCAU